AACGAACGCUGGCGGCAGGCUUAACACAUGCAAGUCGAACGCAUCCUUCGGGGUGAGUGGCAGACGGGUGAGUAACGCGUGGGGACGUGCCCUUCAGUUCGGGAUAACCCAGGGAAACUUGGGCUAAUACCGGAUACGUGCGAGAGCAGAAAGAUUUAUCGCUGAAGGAUCGGCCCGCGUCUGAUUAGCUAGUUGGUGGGGUAAUGGCCCACCAAGGCGACGAUCAGUAGCUGGGCUGAGAGGAUGAUCAGCCACAUUGGGACUGAGACACGGCCCAAACUCCUACGGGAGGAAGCAGUGGGGAAUACUGGACAAUGGGCGCAAGCCUGAUCCAGCCAUGCCGCGUGAGUGAUGAAGGCCUUAGGGUUGUAAAGCUCUUUCGUCCGGGACGAUAAUGACGGUACCGGAAGAAGAAGCCCCGGCUAACUUCGUGCCAGCAGCCGCAGUAA
rnacentral:rRNA from 1 species